rnacentral:rRNA from 1 species
ACUCCUACGGGAGGCAGCAGUGGGGAAUAUUGCACAAUGGGCGCAAGCCUGAUGCAGCCAUGCCGCGUGUAUGAAGAAGGCCUUCGGUUGUAAGUACUUUCAGCAGUGAGGAAGGUGGGUAUGUUAAUAGCAUACUCAUUUUGACGUUUAGCUGCAGAAGAAGCACCGGCUAACUCCGUGCCAGCAGCCGCGGUAAUACGGAGGGUGCGAGCGUUAAAUCGGAAUUACUGGCGUAAAGCGCAUGCAGGUGGUUUGUUAAGUCAGAUGUGAAAGCCCGGGGCUCAACCUCGGAAUUGCAUUUGAAACUGGCAAACUAGAGUACUGUAGAGGGGGUAGAA